CAAGUCAGAUCACUUGGCUCUCUGCCUCCAGCCCCCUUUUUUUCAGGAGAAUGGGUGAUUCUGUCUCACAGGUGUUCUAGGUGCUGGCUAAAAUGGCUGCCCAGUUUUGUGCUGGAAACCUACAGUGCUGGUGUUGUGGAAACUGGUGGGAAUAUCCUGGUCUGUGGGCUUUAAAGACCAUGGGAAAAGUGCAGUAUCUGAGCCGAAGUGCUGGAGCGUCUGGAAAAGUCCCUGAUGGCCUACCUUGGGUCAAAGAGGUGGUUCUCCAGCCCCUUGCACUUCCCAGGCUGUGACUAGCAUAAGGAAGAAGCAGGAGUGAAAUGUGGAGCUAAUAAUAAUAGAAGCUUGAUAGUUUCCAACUUGUGAGGCUUCUUUAUAAGGCAGAAUUGGAGAAUGCGGCUGAGAACUGACGUCAAAGCGUCCUCUUAUAACCUGACCAGCAAUUCCAUGCCUCCAGACCUACUGUGAGGAGUAUUAGAUCUCAUUAUAUUGCUCUCACCUCACCACCUGCAUGGAAAAUAGUACUUGCCUCAGAAACACAGAAUCAAGAGCAGAGGACAGAGAGUAAAUAGCAGGAGUUCAGGCUCAUGUUUAGGCAGCUGAGCCUUCCCAUCUCCAGGUGUGCUUAGUAUUUGAAAUCAGGAAAACCGGAGAGGAAUCCAAGCUCUUCUUUCAAUUCUAUGAGGCAGAGAAACAUGACUGUCUGUUUCCAACCUUUAGUACAAAGUAGCCUUUCCCAUUCACACAAGUUUGCGUCUGUAUUAGGAAGGAACCAAUCAGGAAAACAGAAACCAACUAAUCAUUUUAAUUAUUUGAGAAAAUUUAGCAUGCAGAAUUUAACAGAGAAAAAUUAAUAUAGGAAAUCUAAUGUGAAGAAGUAAAAGAAAAUAGCAAAGGAAAAAAACGAGGUAACAAAAGAGAAAUUGUAGAAAAGCUGGCUCCUAGGGUUGGGGGAAGAAAGAGAAAAGGCUGGGUUUCUGCAAGCAUGGGGUAGAGAGGAGUGGUCCUACAGAUCCUGGCCACAGCGUGUUGGAACUUCAGAAACUUGGAAAAGGGGCUGCAGGGAGUGAUGACUAGAUUUAAGCCCCAGAUGCUUAUUGGGUACUCAUCAGGUCUUAGUAACAGGAUUUAAAAAAAACAGUAACAUCAAUUAAAGAAAACAAAAGCUGCCUCUGCUUUCCAGAAAAAGAUGGCCCAUACCAACAAGACUGUAUUGUCUCACAUCCAGUGGUGGACAGAGACAGCCAGGGGAUGUAUAAGUCAUGCUUUACUUUUUAAAACAAUUUAAACAGUAAAUCAUGAAAUAUGCUAAUUUAAAAUACUUAACGUUUACUAAAAUCAUAGAUGACAAAGUAUACAUGUUACAUUCUGCUCACUACUCUAGGCCUUUUGGUGAAAAAAAGUGUACAUACACACAUAUACCUACACAUGCAACACACGAUAUGUAAAUGUAUAUUCAUAUGAUUUAGAGAUCCUUUAGAUAUUAAUGGGUCACAUAGGAGAUAGGAAGAUAAAUGCAUAGAUUAUAAAUAGUUGUGGC
rnacentral:lncRNA from 1 species